rnacentral:rRNA from 1 species
GUAGGUGGCAAGCGUUGUCCGGAAUUAUUGGGCGUAAAGCGUGCGCAGGCGGUUCUUUAAGUCUGAUGUGAAAGCCCACGGCUCAACCGUGGAGGGUCAUUGGAAACUGGAGAACUUGAGUACAGAAGAGGAAAGCGGAAUUCCACGUGUAGCGGUGAAAUGCGUAGAGAUGUGGAGGAACACCAGUGGCGAAGGCGGCUUUCUGGUCUGUAACUGACGCUGAGGCGCGAAAGCGUGGGGAGCAAACAGGAUUAGAUACCCUGGUAGUCCACGCCGUAAACGAUGAGUGCUAAGUGUUAGGGGGUUUCCGCCCCCCUUAGUGCUGCAGCUAACGCAUUAAGCACUCCGCCUGGGAGUACGGCCGCAAGGCUG